CGCACAUUGCGCUCCCUGGUAUUCCGGGGAGCAUGCCUGUUCGAGCGUCAUUAUCAACCAUCAAGCCCCGCUUGGUAUUGGGCUUCGUCCCCCCGGACGAUCCCUAAAAGCUUCGGCGACGGUUUGGAACCUAAAGCGUAGUGGGAACUUCAGCUUUGGCUCCGGGCCGCCUUGCCUCUAGCACCCAAAACACCCAAAGGUUGACCUCGGAUCAGGUAGGGAUACCCGCUGAACUUAA
rnacentral:misc_RNA from 1 species